GGAAAAUGGUUGAAUUCAUACGAAAUUCGAAUGAAAACCCUCCUGAAUCUCGAAACGCAUCAUUUCUCCUGAAAUCCAGAAUGAAAUUCUUACGAGUGUACAGAUACUCGAACAAUCUUCCUGUAUCACGGGAGAACUUCAGCUGUCAACUGUUUUCUGACGCGCUUUUUUUUUGUUUAUCCUCAGCGAUCAGCGAUGAAAGUUGAAAGCUCAACAGAAAACUUUAAGAAGAACAGUAAAACAGCUAGCCAUACACUGGAGACGAUAAAGUGCGGCCAGAGUAGUAGUUAAGCUGGGACAACGGAAGUUGCUGAAAGCCUCCUGGGAAGAACCGUUUGUUCCAAUGGAUUCACCGGCGAAGCUCGACGACAAAAAGUCGAGGAAUUAUCAGGAUUUCAGCUCUAGCACCAGGUUGCUAGAGCUGAACAUUCAGAAAACCGCUAGAAUCAACAACAUUAUGGAGGAACAAUCUGAAUUAAACAUAUAUAAGGACCAGCCGCAAGUUGAUAUUAAAAACCAUACAUCUCAAUAAUAAAUGAAGUUUUGAUUUAUAAAGUGUUAAAUUUAUGAAAACAAACCCCUAAUUUUCAUGUACACAUGAAA